UGGGGAAUAUUGCACAAUGGGCGCAAGCCUGAUGCAGCCAUGCCGCGUGUGUGAAGAAGGCCUUCGGGUUGUAAAGCACUUUCAGCGGGGAGGAAGGCGUUAAGGUUAAUAACCUUGGCGAUUGACGUUACCCGCAGAAGAAGCACCGGCUAACUCCGUGCCAGCAGCCGCGGUAAUACGGAGGGUGCAAGCGUUAAUCGGAAUGACUGGGCGUAAAGCGCACGCAGGCGGUCUGUCAAGUCGGAUGUGAAAUCCCCGGGCUCAACCUGGGAACUGCAUUCGAAACUGGCAGGCUAGAGUCUUGUAGAGGGGGGUAGAAUUCCAUGUGUAGCGGUGAAAUGCGUAGAGAUGUGGAGGAAUACCGGUGGCGAAGGCGGCCCCCUGGACAAAGACUGACGCUCAGGUGCGAAAGCGUGGGGAGCAAACAGG
rnacentral:rRNA from 1 species